GGAUAACCUUGCGAAAGUAAGACUAAUACCCAAUGAUAUCUCUAGAAGGCAUCUGAAAGAGAUUAAAGAUUUAUCGGUGAUGGAUGGGGAUGCGUCUGAUUAGCUUGUUGGCGGGGUAACGGCCCACCAAGGCAACGAUCAGUAGGGGUUCUGAGAGGAAGGUCCCCCACAUUGGAACUGAGACACGGUCCAAACUCCUACGGGAGGCAGCAGUGAGGAAUAUUGGUCAAUGGACGAGAGUCUGAACCAGCCAAGUAGCGUGCAGGAUGACGGCCCUAUGGGUUGUAAACUGCUUUUAUAAGGGAAUAAAGUGAGUCUCGUGAGACUUUUUGCAUGUACCUUAUGAAUAAGGACCGGCUAAUUCCGUGCCAGCAGCCGCGGUAAUACGGAAGGUCCGGGCGUUACCCGGAUUUAUUGGGUUUAAAGGGAGCGUAGGCCGGAGAUUAAGCGUGUUGUGAAAUGUAGAUGCUCAACAUCUGAACUGCAGCGCGAACUGGUUUCCUUGAGUACGCACAAAGUGGGCGGAAUUCGUGGUGUAGCGGUGAAAUGCUUAGAUAUCACGAAGAACUCCGAUUGCGAAGGCAGCUCACUGGAGCGCAACUGACGCUGAAGCUCGAAAGUGCGGGUAUCGAACAGGAUUAGAUACCCUGGUAGUCCGCACGGUAAACGAUGGAUGCCCGCUGUUGGUCUGAAUAGGUCAGCGGCCAAG
rnacentral:rRNA from 1 species